rnacentral:piRNA from 6 species
GCGGCCCGGGUUCGAUUCCCGGUCAGG